rnacentral:misc_RNA from 1 species
CCUAGGUUCUUUCCCAUCAAAAGUAACCAACUCUAUCUUGGGCAAAAUCUGUGGUAUACCUUCCAUAAAAGAAAAUUUUCCAAGGUUAUUAGGGUUACCUAUAUUCUGUAAAUUCUGGAUCCUUGUAGGGUUAGGUAAUAAACCCAUCCCAUUUCCCAAAACUGACUGAAAUCCAACAUUUUCAGAUCUACUUCCACCUUCCCCAGAAUUACUAACUUCCUUACUCCUUCCAGCACUCAUGUAGGCUCGCAAUUCCUCCAAGAUAACAUUCUGACCCUCAGUUUUCUUCAUCAUAUCUUCUUUAAAUUCCUUCAGAUCUCCAGCAGUUCUUGAAGCCACUUCUUGCAGAUUCCGAGAAACUUCUUGUAGAUUCCGAGAAACUUCUUGCAAAUUCCUCACUUGUUCUUCUAGCUCAGCAAUCUUCACCAUUUCUGGACUCACUACAACUGAUCUAGUCAUAUUUCCGACUUCCAGGAACCAAUUACCCACUGAUUCUUGGAUUCGGUAGCUCUGAUACCAA